rnacentral:rRNA from 1 species
UACGGGGGGUGCAAGCGUUGUUCGGAAUUACUGGGCGUAAAGGGCUCGUAGGCGGCCAACUAAGUCAGACGUGAAAUCCCUCGGCUUAACCGGGGAACUGCAUCUGAUACUGGAUGGCUUGAGUUCGGGAGAGGGAUGCGGAAUUCCAGGUGUAGCGGUGAAAUGCGCAGAUAUCAGGAAGAACACCUAUGGCGAAGGCAGCUCUCUGGGACGGUACUGACGCUGAGACGCGAAAGCGUGGGGAGCGAACAGG